rnacentral:tRNA from 1 species
UCCGGGGUCGUCUAACGGCAGGACAUCAGGCUUUGAACCUGAGAAUUUACGUUCGAAUCGUAGCCCCGGAG